rnacentral:rRNA from 1 species
UGGGGGAUAUUGCACAAUGGGCGCAAGCCUGAUGCAGCGACGCCGCGUGGGGGAAGAAGGCCUUCGGGUUGUAAACUUCUUUUGCUCUGAACAAGGCGCACUUUGGGGUGUGUUGAGUGUAGGGGUUGAUUAGCGCCGGCUAACUACGUGCCAGCAGCCGCGGUAAUACGUAGGGCGCGAGCGUUGUCCGGAAUUAUUGGGCGUAAAGGGCUUGUAGGUGGCUGGUUGCGUCUGUCGUGAAAGCUCAUGGCUUAACUGUGGGUUUGCGGUGGGUACGGGCUGGCUUGAGUGCAGUAGGGGAGGCUGGAAUUCCUGGUGUAGCGGUGGAAUGCGCAGAUAUCAGGAGGAAUACCGGUGGCGAAGGCGGGUCUCUGGGCUGUUACUGACACUGAGGAGCGAAAGCAUGGGGAGCGAACAGG